rnacentral:sRNA from 1 species
ACACUGUCAUGGAGGAUCGUUAUUGCACAGCAUACACAUUCACGAAAAACUUAGGUACUGGGGCUGCCGCCCUCUGUGGAUAACUGCUCGUCAUCGUGCUCAUCCUUGGUGGAUAAGAUAUGGCAGAACAAUUUAACUCCCUCCUAUUAUUUUCACUACUAUUAAACAGGGUAGCAAACACAUCUUCCAAAGGAUAGUUAACUACGGAGUAUGAUAUGAAGAGCAUGUAAGAUGACAUUGAGCACUGUCGAAAGCCAAUUGAGUGAUCUCUAUUUUUAAUCUGAUUUUAGCUUAAGUGCCCUCAAGGAAUUCCAGUCCGCAAGACCAGAGGUCAUCUGUCAUUCAACGACUUUGAGUGCCUUAAAAACAUCUUUUAAUUUGAAGGCACUGACCAUCACUUACUUAUUAUCGAAGGCAACCAGUGCACAGUCGUCA